AUUGAACGCUGGCGGCAGGCCUAACACAUGCAAGUCGAGCGGAUGAGUGGAGCUUGCUCCAUGAUUCAGCGGCGGACGGGUGAGUAAUGCCUAGGAAUCUGCCUGGUAGUGGGGGACAACGUUUCGAAAGGAACGCUAAUACCGCAUACGUCCUACGGGAGAAAGUGGGGGAUCUUCGGACCUCACGCUAUCAGAUGAGCCUAGGUCGGAUUAGCUAGUUGGUGAGGUAAGGGCUCACCAAGGCGACGAUCCGUAACUGGUCUGAGAGGAUGAUCAGUCACACUGGAACUGAGACACGGUCCAGACUCCUACGGGAGGCAGCAGUGGGGAAUAUCGGACAAUGGGCGAAAGCCUGAUCCAGCCAUGCCGCGUGUGUGAAGAAGGUCUUCGGAUUGUAAAGCACUUUAAGUUGGGAGGAAGGGCAGUAAGUUAAUACCUUGCUGUUUUGACGUUACCAACAGAAUAAGCACCGGCUAACUUCGUGCCAGCCGCCGCCGUAAUAC
rnacentral:rRNA from 1 species